rnacentral:rRNA from 1 species
UAGGGAAUAUUGCACAAUGGGCGAAAGCCUGAUGCAGCAACGCCGCGUGUGUGAUGAAGGCCUUCGGGUCGUAAAGCACUUUUCUGGGAGAUGAGAAAGGACAGUAUCCCAGGAAUAAGUCUCGGCUAACUACGUGCCAGCAGCCGCGGUAAAACGUAGGAGGCAAGCGUUAUCCGGAUUCACUGGGCGUAAAGCGCGUGCAGGUGGCGCGGUAAGUUGGGCGUGAAAUCUCCCGGCUCAACUGGGAGAGGUCGUCCAAUACUACCGUGCUUGAGAGCAGAAGAGGAAGAUGGAAUUCCCGGUGUAGUGGUGAAAUGCGUAGAUAUCGGGAGGAACACCGAGUGGCGAAGGCGAUCUUCUGGUCUGUUUCUGACACUCAGACGCGACAGCUAGGGUAGUAAACGGGAUUAGAGACCCCGGUAAUCCUAGCCGUAAACGAUGUAGAACUUGGCGUUGGUAGGGUUAAACUCCAUCAGUGCCGUAG